rnacentral:rRNA from 1 species
UGCAAAGGUAGCAUAAUCACUUGUUUUUUAAUUGGAAACUGGUAUGAAAGAGUUGACGAAAUAUGAGCUAUUUUGGUUUGACAUUUAAGUUGACAUAAAGAUAAAAAGGUCUUUUUGUUCUAGGGGGACGAUAAGACCCUGUGAAAUUUUAUUUAUUGAAACCUAAUAUUAAGGUUUUUAGGAGUAUAAAUUUGGCUGGGGCGGUUUGUAUAAUAACUAUUUUAGGUUAAAUACUAAAUGUAAAUUUUUAGGACACUUUUAUGUAAUUUUGAAUAAAUUACUCCAGGGAUAACAGCACUAUUUUCUUGGAUAGAUCUUAUUGGUAAGAGAGUUUGUGACCUCGAUGUUGAAUUGGGACUUCCUAUAUAAGCAAAAGUAUAUAUGGUCA